UGCAAGUCGAACGAUGAAGCCUAGCUUGCUGGGUGGAUUAGUGGCGAACGGGUGAGUAACACGUGAGUAACCUGCCCUUGACUCUGGGAUAAGCGCUGGAAACGGCGUCUAAUACCGGAUACGACCUGCCCCGGCAUCGGGUGUGGGUGGAAAGUUUUUCGGUCAAGGAUGGACUCGCGGCCUAUCAGCUUGUUGGUGAGGUAAUGGCUCACCAAGGCGACGACGGGUAGCCGGCCUGAGAGGGUGACCGGCCACACUGGGACUGAGACACGGCCCAGACUCCUACGGGAGGCAGCAGUGGGGAAUAUUGCACAAUGGGCGAAAGCCUGAUGCAGCAACGCCGCGUGGGGGAUGACGGCCUUCGGGUUGUAAACCUCUUUUAGUAGGGAAGAAGGGCUUCGGCUUGACGGUACCUGCAGAAAAAGCACCGGCUAACUACGUGCCAGCAGCCGCGGUAAUACGUAGGGUGCAAGCGUUGUCCGGAAUUAUUGGGCGUAAAGAGCUCGUAGGCGGUUUGUCGCGUCUGCUGUGAAAACCCGAGGCUCAACCUCGGGCCUGCAGUGGGUACGGGCAGACUAGAGUGCGGUAGGGGAGAAUGGAAUUCCUGGUGUAGCGGUGGAAUGCGCAGAUAUCAGGAGGAACACCGAUGGCGAAGGCAGUUCUCUGGGCCGUUACUGACGCUGAGGAGCGAAAGCGUGGGGAGCGAACAGGAUUAGAUACCCUGGUAGUCCACGCCGUAAACGUUGGGAACUAGAUGUGGGGACCUUUCCACGGUCUCCGUGUCGCAGCUAACGCAUUAAGUUCCCCGCCUGGGGAGUACGGCCGCAAGGCUAAAACUCAAAGGAAUUGACGGGGGCCCGCACAAGCGGCGGAGCAUGCGGAUUAAUUCGAUGCAACGCGAAGAACCUUACCAAGGCUUGACAUAUACCGGAAACUUCCAGAGAUGGUUGCCCCGCAAGGUCGGUAUACAGGUGGUGCAUGGUUGUCGUCAGCUCGUGUCGUGAGAUGUUGGGUUAAGUCCCGCAACGAGCGCAACCCUCGUUCUAUGUUGCCAGCACGUUAUGGUGGGAACUCAUAGGAGACUGCCGGGGUCAACUCGGAGGAAGGUGGGGAUGACGUCAAAUCAUCAUGCCCCUUAUGUCUUGGGCUUCACGCAUGCUACAAUGGCCGGUACAAAGGGCUGCGAUACCGUAAGGUGGAGCGAAUCCCAAAAAGCCGGUCUCAGUUCGGAUUGAGGUCUGCAACUCGACCUCAUGAAGUCGGAGUCGCUAGUAAUCGCAGAUCAGCAACGCUGCGGUGAAUACGUUCCCGGGCCUUGUACACACCGCCCGUCAAGUCAUGAAAGUCGGUAACACCCGAAGCCAGUGGCCUAACCGUAAGGAGGGAGCUGUCG
rnacentral:rRNA from 1 species